AUAAAUCCUCAAGAUUCAAAUCUUUGUCACUUGGCGCUCUCAUAGGAUAUCGUGUCUAUCUUCCUGAUGAGAUCUCCCCUUUCAUCUUCAAUCUAGGGCUAGGGUUUUUCGUUUUUCUUUAUUCAUAUUGGUUUUCAUUUCUAUUCUUGAGGCUCUUCAGGAUCCGCAAAAUAUUCUCUCUCCUGGGCAAUGGUGGAACAAUUGCUUUAUUGGACUAUCGAUUGUGUCUUUUCUCAUAUAUGUCUUUUUUUCUUUCUAGAAUGAUGAGUCCUGUUUGGGUGCCGAGAAAAUUCUGGUGAUCAUUUUCGUUUUUUCAAAACCUCAAAUUUUCUGAUAUCGAUUGAAUUUUUGGGAGGAGAAAUGCUGUUCGGUCUUCUCUUGAAACCGCAUGCAGCGGCUGUGAAAUGCAGACACAUGGCUCGUCAUUUUCAUGUGAUAAAACCAUGGUCACGAACCAUGGAAAAUGCUAUACCUGUGACUUCACCGUCGUCGGAUUGAUUAGGGUUCCCUUCUCCCUCUCCAAUGCAGGCAAAUUGGUUCAUUCUUGUGGGCUGUUAAAGGCAGGAUCAGGUUUGUCACAACAGGUGCACAUUAUACUGUUUAUCUUGGAACAGGAUAUACUCAUUCUUUCUAAUUAUCUGUCAAUGUGAUACAGAUUUCUUGUUUGAAUUUUUUGCCCUUUGAUUUGGAUAUUGUUUUUCUCCUUUUGAGCAAGGGAUUUUGGAUUUAUUGAAAAUGUUCUGGUCAUUGAAGUCAGGUUGAAGCAAUGAAUGAGGCUUGAUGAUUCUAAAACAUCCCUUUUGACAAAAUUCUGAAGGUUGGAUUUGUUGGAGGAACCAGUCUGCUUUGAACAAGGAGGCUGAAAUUCACUGUUUCGUGCAAAUAAACAUGCCAUAAGGUAACAUAGCAUUUAAUAAUUGCUCAUUGCUAUUGACUUGAAGCUUUUGGACUUUGAGCUUGUUGGUAUAGCUUCUUAUUUUGGCUUCGCUGGAAGCUGGAAGUUAAGCCCUUUUACACGAAGUAACAUUUUCCUGA